CAGCAUCUGGAGUACGCCAUCCGAAUCGGAGCCAGUGAAUUGGAGCACCCCGAUAUGGGCAGGCACCGCCGCCGGCUCGUCCUUUAUGCGCCCAGAUACCCAGAUACCUUGAUACCUUCUUACCACGAUGCCAUGAUACCUCAAUACAAAACAUCGAUCCCUUUGCGAUGCUGAUGAUUUUUGAUUAAGUGGUCUGCGAUUUGUCAAAAUAUUUCACGCUGCCGCCAGAGGAGUAAAAAAAAGAGAGAGAAACCCAAAAAAGAUAUGGUAAGGGGCGCACGUGAGAUGGAGUUGGGUUUUGGCCGGAUUGUGUGAGACUCGGUGUCAUCGGGAAUCUGUCUCUAUAUCUCGACUGGCUGUCACACGGCGGCAAUAUGCCAUAAUAAUAAUAAUAUCCACUGGUGACAGCGACAACGACAAUGACAAUUGCCGACCACUCGGUUACCUGCAACUGUGCGACUCCCAGUGGCAUACAGAUUUCCUGAUGCAGUGCGUCACGAGUGACAAAGAGUGACUAAUUGGCGACAGGUCGGUAUUGAUCUGUAUUAUCAAUGAUUUGUGCCACUUUGGCUGCCGGCGGCGUUUGAUUCGAUAUCCUGGGAUACCGAGUGUCAGCUAAUUGAUGUGCGCCAAUAAAUCUGAAAUUCGGAGUGAGUGGUUCCCAUGGGGCCAUGUUUUCAGAUAUUUUGGCAGUGCGAAUGAGGCUCUUCGAUGGAGAGAAGCCAACUCAAUCCAAUUACUCGCAACGCCCCAAGAUGCCGGUUAAGUGGGGCUAAGCCGCUGCCCCGGAACGUAGCGAAUCGGAUGGACUUGGAUGCGAUCGGAUUGGAUUGGAACGGAACGGAACCAAUGCCAAUGUCCAGCUCGAUCGAGGAUCUGGAUCGAGAGAUGCUGAAAAAGCCAAGGAGGCGAGUGGAUUGAAAGGGGGCGCCGCGCCGGGUGACACAUGCAAGCUAUCUGCUGCCAUAAAAGCAGCAACAGCAACCUGGAUAAGAGCGGCUUUCACGGGCCACAGCACAGUGGGCCAGAUUCGCAAAGAAACAAAC